CUGGCGGCAUGCCUAACACAUGCAAGUCGAACGGACGAGGGUAGCAAUACCCAAGGUUAGUGGGCGAACGGGUGAGUAACACGUGAGCAACCUGCCCUUUACACUGGGAUAGCAGUUGGAAACGACUGAUAAUACCGGAUAAGACCACGCUCCCGCAUGGGAGAGGGGUCAAAGCGAUUUAGCGGUAAAGGAUGGGCUCGCGUCCAAUUAGCUAGUUGGUGAGGUAACGGCCCACCAAGGCGACGAUUGGUAGCCGACUUGAGAGAGCGAUCGGCCACACUGGAACUGAGACACGGUCCAGACUCCUACGGGAGGCAGCAGUGGGGAAUAUUGGGCAAUGGAGGAAACUCUUACCCAAGCAAUGCCGCGUGAGGGAUGGAGGUCCUAUGGAUUGUAAACCUCUUUGAUUAGGGACAAAGAAAGUGAUGGUACCUAAAGAACAAGCCCCGGCUAACUAAUGUGCCAGCCGCAGC
rnacentral:rRNA from 1 species